CUCAAACAUUAGCCUCCAACCUAAGUAUGGGGAUAAGUGUAUUCUGUACCAUCAAGUAGACUGAACACUGUUAAGCAGCAAGAAAUGCAACAACAACAAGAGAUGCUAGGGCAGUUUGGAAUGGAAGAGCACAGAGAUAUAGUAUUAAUCCAUGAGGCACUUCUGGGUGGUUUUCUCCAGUUCAGUGGGUUACGGAGAGGAAGAGUGGAUUGUUCGAUUAUGACUUCUGCCGUGAUGGUCUUCUACACUGUGGAAACUGACAUCUUUCCAAUAACUGAAACCUUUUCCUGAGUACAAACAGGAAUGAGAUGCUUUUCUGCUCACAGAAGAAAACUGCCCUUAUCUGGCUUAUAAAAUUAAAAAAUUAAGGGAAAUAAAUAAAUUCCCUCCAAAGGAGAGCUGGAG
rnacentral:lncRNA from 1 species